GUUGGUGUUGUGCUAUCAGCGCCUCCACAUUUUCCCUGCAGGGAUUCCUUCUGACAGGCUGAGGCUGGAGGCAUGUCUCAGGAUUAACGACACUACGUGGAUACUUCUUCCAUCUGGGAUCCAGAUAAAAUCUGAAUGAAAGUAACAGGACACCAGAAGUGUUGCAGGAUUUUUUUAUCGUAAUGCCUGGGAUUUGUUGUCUCGCAGCUUCGAAGAAUAAAGAGGGCUCAAAACCUUUACACAAAAGCCAGCCAAAUGUUCCUAAUUCUAGGGAACAUGUUAUUUUAGCCUUCAUGAUGAUGACUCAACCCUGUGCCUCACUGCUAUGUAAGAUUCCAACAGAGAUGACAUUUUGCAAUCCAGAGAAGCAACAUGUCCCCUGUCUGGAGGUGAACUGAGAAAUAGUUCACUUCAAAUGGGCCUCUAAACAGCUGUCAGGUCAGAAUAACUGUAAGUCAUUACCUAUCUGAGCCAUGUUGAACCAGUGACUUUUAAGUGGUGAAAAUCUCUGUAUCAUAUUACUAAUCUCACUGGCCAACGGUGACUGUGUCAACAACCAACAUUCCCUCUUAGUAAGCAGGCAAAAAUAAUACAUGGCCCAUGAUUUGGAAGGUAAAGGAGCAGUUGAGAGGUUGAAAAGUUCAGGAAGUGAGGAAGUUGAAAAUACACCUCCUCAGAGCUUUGCCUCCAGAAUGAUUCACGACAACCUGUAAGUCGCAAAUGUGCCACAAAAGGAUUCACUCCAACUUC
rnacentral:lncRNA from 1 species